ACGGACACAAACAGGGGUGGGGACAGACGGACAUCAGCGAUGACGACAUUCGGGACAGACGGACACGGGUGGGGGGAGGGGAAGGAGAUCCCGACCCCAAUGGGAUCCCAGGUUCAGGUCCCAAUGAUCCCAAACCUAAAAAGACCCCAACCCCAAAAAGACCCCAACCCAAAAAGACCCCAACCCCAAAAGACCCCAACCCCAAAAAGACCCCAACCCCAAAAGACCCCAACCCCAAAAGACCCCCACCCCAAAGGGAUCCCAACUCACGAGACCCCCACCCCAAUGAAACACAGACUCAGGAGAUGCUGACCCCAAUGGAAGCCAUGUUCAGGUCCCAAUGAUCCCAAACCCAACGGGACCCCAGACUCAGGAGACCCCAACCCCAUGUUGGGGUGACGGAGACCCCAACCCCAACGGGGUCCCGUGUUGGGGUGACGGAGACCCCAACCCCAAUGGGGUCCUGUGUUGGGUUGAUGGAGACCCCAAAACCAAUGGGGUCCCAUGUUGGAUGCAUGGAGACCCGACCCCAACGGGGUCCCGUGUUGGGUUGAUGGAGACCCCAACCCCAAUAGGGUCCCAUGUUGGAUUGAUGGAGACCCCAACCCAAAUGGGGUCCUGUGUUGGGUUGAUGGAGACCCAACCCCAACGGGGUGUUGGGUUGAUGGAGACCCCAACCCCAACGGGGUCCCAUGUUGGCUUGACAGAGACCCAACCUCAACGGGGUCUCAUGUUGGGUUGAUGGAGACCCCAACCCCAAUGGGGUCCCGUGUUGGGCUGACGGAGACCCCAACUCCAACGGGACCCAGAGCUCAUGAGACCCCAACCCCAACAGGGUGUUGGGUUGACGGAGACCCCAACCCCAACGGGGUCCCACGUUGGCUUGACGGAGACCCAACCUCAACGGGGUCUCGUGUUGGGCUGACGGAGCCCCCAACCCCCCGUGCCCCCCAUCCGACGCCCCCCGCCCGCAGCUCAGUCCCAGUCGGUGGGCUCACAGAUGCUGAGCGGGGCGGCGUUGCGGCGCCCGGCGCGGAUGCCGGGGUAGAAGAGCGGCCAUAUUUUCUCGGUGAAGGUGUCGGUGAAGGUGUAGAGGUGCGAGCGGUCGGUGACGUUGUAGAAGGAAACCUCCCCCGCCUCGUAGUCCACGAAGACCCCCACCCUGGUGGGCUUCACCCUGGGGCUGAGGGGGGUGAAGGGGGCGGUGGUGGCGGCGUAGCGAUCGCCGUUCCAAAGCCGGACCCUCCAAAAUCCGCUCUCGGGCAGCGCCGCCGGCUCCCCGUUGCGACACACCGAGUCCCCGCAGACCCCCAGCGCCCAGUGGGUUUUGUGGCCCACCUCCACCUCCCAGUAAUGGCGGCCCGACGUGAAGCCCCUGGAGCCCAGCACGCACGGGUAGGUGGUGAAGCGGCGGCUGCUGGCCGCCAGGUGGCGCUGGCGGCUCUCGAUGAAACGGACGCUUUUCCGGUCGGGGGAUAAAAGGAGGUUGGGGUGCGCGGUGUCGGGGUCCAG
rnacentral:lncRNA from 1 species